rnacentral:lncRNA from 1 species
UUCUUCGAUUGGGCCGACUCUGCUCGUGCCUUGUUGUGUGAAACCUAUAUCCGUUGACGUCAUAACCGGCAAACGACCUGACCCUAUAGUCACAGCCAUCGGCAACCUGUCUCAACUCGACAUUCAUAGACGCAUCGGUUCGGCCCUGCAAGUUCAAACAGGGCGGUUCGUUAUAUUAAUCGUAUGCACGAGAACGAGAAUGUUCGAAGAAAUGAAAUUGUACCUUCUGUUUGAACCAAGAAAUGAAAUCGGGCAUUCCAUUUCCCGCAC